GUGAAUCAUCGAAUUUUUGAACGCAAAUUGCACUCUCCGGUUUUCCGGGAGAUUAUUCCUGUUUGCGCUUCAGCCUAAAAAAAAUCGACAUUUUUGCUGUUUUAUGGUGACUUUCGUCGGAGAUGGGUUAUCUUAAAUCUCGGUUUAAGCGACUUAAAAAUUUUUUUUACUAUUCUAAGAAUGUUUCUAAGUUUUUUCUUUUCCGUUUAAGGUAUCGAAUUUCUUUUUAGCCUUGGCCUUCAUUUCGGA
rnacentral:misc_RNA from 1 species